AGACCGCCUCGUUAUUGAUACUGAGGCAGAGGAGGAGGAGGAAAUGGGGGAGCCCUCAGGCCAGCCUGAUGUCACUUACGUGGACUCGGGGGAGGAGGAGCCACAGUAUAUAAUUAUUGACAGUCAGGAGGAGGAAGAGGAGAAGCCCUCUCCCCAACUUGG